AACGCGAAGAACCUUACCUGGGCUCGAAAUGUAGAGGACGACAUCAGAGAUGAUGUUUCCCGAAAGGGUCUUUAUAUAGGUGCUGCAUGGCUGUCGUCAGCUCGUGCCGUGAGGUGUUUGGUUAAGUCCAGCAACGAGCGCAACCCUUAUCGUUAGUUGCCAACGCGUGAAGGCGGGAACUCUAACGAGACUGCCUGGGUUAACCAGGAGGAAGGUGAGGAUGACGUCAAGUCCGCAUGGCCUUUAUGUCCAGGGCUACACACGUGCUACAAUGGUCGGUACAGAAGGCGGCGAAACCGCAAGGCGAAGCAAAUCCUUUAAAACCGAUCUCAGUUCAGAUUGUAGACUGCAACUCGUCUACAUGAAGUUGGAAUUGCUAGUAAUGGCGUGUCAGCAACAACGCCGUGAAUACGUUCCCGGGCCUUGUA
rnacentral:rRNA from 1 species